AUUGAACGCUGGCGGCAUGCUUUACACAUGCAAGUCGAACGGUAACAGGCCUUCGGGUGCUGACGAGUGGCGAACGGGUGAGUAAUGCAUCGGAACGUACCCAGAGGUGGGGGAUAACGCAGCGAAAGCUGUGCUAAUACCGCAUGUGAUCUGAGGAUGAAAGCGGGGGACCGAGCAGCAAUGUUUGGCCUCGCGCCUUUGGAGCGGCCGAUGUCGGAUUAGCUAGUUGGUGGGGUAAAGGCCUACCAAGGCGACGAUCCGUAGCUGGUCUGAGAGGACGACCAGCCACACUGGGACUGAGACACGGCCCAGACUCCUACGGGAGGCAGCAGUGGGGAAUUUUGGACAAUGGGCGCAAGCCUGAUCCAGCAAUGCCGCGUGCGGGAAGAAGGCCUUCGGGUUGUAAACCGCUUUUGGCAGGAACGAAACGGUGUCCGCUAAUACCGGGCGUUAAUGACGGUACCUGCAGAAUAAGCACCGGCUAACUACGUG
rnacentral:rRNA from 1 species